UACGGAGGGUGCAAGCGUUACUCGGAAUCACUGGGCGUAAAGAGUGCGCAGGCGGGCUUGUAAGUCAGAUGUGAAAUCCUGUAGCUUAACUACAGAACUGCAUUUGAAACUAUGAGUCUAGAGUGUGGGAGAGGUAGGUGGAAUUCUUGGUGUAGGGGUAAAAUCCGUAGAUAUCAAGAGGAAUACUCAUUGCGAAGGCGGCCUACCGGCUUCUGUCUGACGCUGAGGCACGAAAGCGUGGGUAUCGAACAGG
rnacentral:rRNA from 1 species